rnacentral:rRNA from 1 species
GAUGAACGCUGGCGGCGUGCUUAACACAUGCAAGUCGAACGGAAAGGCUCCUGCUUGCAGGGGUACUCGAGUGGCGAACGGGUGAGUAACACGUGGGUGAUCUGCCCUGCACUUCGGGAUAAGCCUGGGAAACUGGGUCUAAUACCGGAUAGGACCACAUUUUGGAUGGUGUGGUGGAAAGUUUUUCGGUGUGGGAUGAGCUCGCGGCCUAUCAGCUUGUUGGUGGGGUAAUGGCCUACCAAGGCGUCGACGGGUAGCCGGCCUGAGAGGGUGUACGGCCACAUUGGGACUGAGAUACGGCCCAGACUCCUACGGGGGGCAGCAGUGGGGAAUAUUGCACAAUGGGCGCAAGCCUGAUGCAGCGACGCCGCGUGGGGGAUGACGGCCUUCGGGUUGUAAACCCCUUUCGCUAGGGACGAAGCGUUUUUGUGACGGUACCUGGAGAAGAAGCACCGGCUAACUACGUG